rnacentral:rRNA from 1 species
GACGAACGCUGGCGGCGUGCCUAAUACAUGCAAGUAGAACGCUGAAGAGAGGAGCUUGCUCUUCUUGGAUGAGUUGCGAACGGGUGAGUAACGCGUAGGUAACCUGCCUUGUAGCGGGGGAUAACUAUUGGAAACGAUAGCUAAUACCGCAUAACAAUGGAUGACACAUGUCAUUUAUUUGAAAGGGGCAAUUGCUCCACUACAAGAUGGACCUGCGUUGUAUUAGCUAGUAGGUGAGGUAACGGCUCACCUAGGCGACGAUACAUAGCCGACCUGAGAGGGUGAUCGGCCACACUGGGACUGAGACACGGCCCAGACUCCUACGGGAGGCAGCAGUAGGGAAUCUUCGGUAAUGGGGGCAACCCUGACCGAGCAACGCCGCGUGAGUGAAGAAGGUUUUCGGAUCGUAAAGCUCUGUUGUAAGUCAAGAACGAGUGUGAGAGUGGAAAGUUCACACUGUGACGGUAGCUUACCAGAAAGGGACGGCUAACUACGUGCCAGCAGCCGCGGUAAUACGUAGGUCCCGAGCGUUGUCCGGAUUUAUUGGGCGUAAAGCGAGCGCAGGCGGUUUGAUAAGUCUGAAGUUAAAGGCUGUGGCUCAACCAUAGUUCGCUUUGGAAACUGUCAAACUUGAGUGCAGAAGGGGAGAGUGGAAUUCCAUGUGUAGCGGUGAAAUGCGUAGAUAUAUGGAGGAACACCGGUGGCGAAAGCGGCUCUCUGGUCUGUAACUGACGCUGAGGCUCGAAAGCGUGGGGAGCGAACAGGAUUAGAUACCCUGGUAGUCCACGCCGUAAACGAUGAGUGCUAGGUGUUGGAUCCUUUCCGGGAUUCAGUGCCGCAGCUAACGCAUUAAGCACUCCGCCUGGGGAGUACGACCGCAAGGUUGAAACUCAAAGGAAUUGACGGGGGCCCGCACAAGCGGUGGAGCAUGUGGUUUAAUUCGAAGCAACACGAAGAACCUUACCAGGUCUUGACAUCCCGAUGCUAUUUCUAGAGAUAGAAAGUUACUUCGGUACAUCGGUGACAGGUGGUGCAUGGUUGUCGUCAGCUCGUGUCGUGAGAUGUUGGGUUAAGUCCCGCAACGAGCGCAACCCCUAUUGUUAGUUGCCAUCAUUCAGUUGGGCACUCUAGCGAGACUGCCGGUAAUAAACCGGAGGAAGGUGGGGAUGACGUCAAAUCAUCAUGCCCCUUAUGACCUGGGCUACACACGUGCUACAAUGGUUGGUACAACGAGUUGCGAGUCGGUGACGGCAAGCUAAUCUCUUAAAGCCAAUCUCAGUUCGGAUUGUAGGCUGCAACUCGCCUACAUGAAGUCGGAAUCGCUAGUAAUCGCGGAUCAGCACGCCGCGGUGAAUACGUUCCCGGGCCU